rnacentral:rRNA from 1 species
CCCUUAGAUGUUCUGGGCUGCACGCGCGCUACACUGACGCACGCAACAGGUGCCUGCUCCGAGAGGACUGGGUAAUCAUUUGAGUGUGCGUCGUGAUGGGGAUAGAAUAUUGUAAUUAUUACUCUUCAACGAGGAAUUCCUAGUAAGCGCCAGUCAGCAGCUUGUGCUGAUUACGUCCCUGCCCUUUGUACACACCGCCCGUCGCUCCUACCGAUGGGUGAUCCGGUGAAUGAUUCGGACUUCAGCGGCUCCCCUGGGGUGCGCCGGAGAAAGUUUUGUGAACCUUAUCACUUGGAGGAAGGAGAAGUCGUAACA